rnacentral:rRNA from 1 species
AUUGAACGCUGGCGGCAGGCCUAACACAUGCAAGUCGAGCGGAUGAAGGGAGCUUGCUCCUGGAUUCAGCGGCGGACGGGUGAGUAAUGCCUAGGAAUCUGCCUGGUAGUGGGGGAUAACGUCCGGAAACGGGCGCUAAUACCGCAUACGUCCUGAGGGAGAAAGUGGGGGAUCUUCGGACCUCACGCUAUCAGAUGAGCCUAGGUCGGAUUAGCUAGUUGGUGGGGUAAAGGCCUACCAAGGCGACGAUCCGUAACUGGUCUGAGAGGAUGAUCAGUCACGCUGGAACUGAGACACGGUCCAGACUCCUACGGGAGGCAGCAGUGGGGAAUAUUGGACAAUGGGCGAAAGCCUGAUCCAGCCAGGCCGCGUGUGUGAAGAAGGUCUUCGGAUUGUAAAGCACUUUAAGUUGGGAGGAAGGGCAGUAAGUUAAUACCUUGCUGUUUUGACGUUACAACAGAAUAAGCACCGGCUAACUUCGUG